rnacentral:SRP_RNA from 1 species
GCUGGGCAUGGUGGCGCAUGCCUGUAAUCCCAGCUGCUCGGGAGGCUGAGGUAGGAGAUCGCUUGAGCACAGGAGAUGGAGGUUGCAGUGAGCUGAGAUUGCGCCAUUGCACUCCAACCUGAGCGACAGAGCAAGAUUCUGCCUCAA